CACCGCGGUUAUACGAGAGGCUCAAGUUGACAGACAACGGCGUAAAGAGUGGUUAGGGAGACUUUAAAGACUAAAGCCGAACGUCCUCAGAGCUGUUUAACGCUUCCGAGUUAAGAAGAUCUUAAACGAAAGUAGCUUUAAUAAACCUGACCCCACGAAAGCUGUGAAA
rnacentral:rRNA from 1 species